GUUUCUGCAUAAAGCUGAAGUCCUGCUGCUGAAAACAAUCGACUUGGCUGUUACGUUUGGUUCGAUGUCAUUAUUGAUGAGAUGUGUGUACCUGUCUGAAGCGCUUGAGGUGAAGUAUAAGGAUGUCUGGCAGCGUCCACAGACUCAGCUUGAUGCUGCCCUGCUGCAGCUGCUUGCAGUGUGGACAUCUCCACGCAUCAUCCGGGGCAAGCUGGAGGUCAGAAAUGCACCUGAUGUGGUCCCACCCCGUUUGGACCGGAUCUGCUCCGGCCUGAACAGCUCAGGCGUCUCGAAAGCGAAGAUGGAGUCACUCUCCUGAAUGAUCUCCAGGUCUUCGUCGUCGUCGCAGAAGGAGCGGUGAAAGCCAUCGAAGUACAUCUCAGUGAGGACGAUCUGCUCAGUGACAGGAGACACAAACAGCGUAAUAACGGCGGUAAAGUGGCCCAAAGGAGGUGGUACCUGUUGGGCGGGAAUCUUGGUCUCCUGAGCCACAGCUUGCCGCAGUCUGGAC